rnacentral:tRNA from 1 species
GGAGAAAUAGCUCAGUUGGUUGAGUGCUUGCCUACCAUGCAUAAAGCCCUAGGUUCAAUCCCCAGUACCACCA